GGUGAGUAAUGUCUGGGAAACUGCCUGAUGGAGGGGGAUAACUACUGGAAACGGUAGCUAAUACCGCAUAACGUCGCAAGACCAAAGAGGGGGACCUUCGGGCCUCUUGCCAUCGGAUGUGCCCAGAUGGGAUUAGCUAGUAGGUGGGGUAACGGCUCACCUAGGCGACGAUCCCUAGCUGGUCUGAGAGGAUGACCAGCCACACUGGAACUGAGACACGGUCCAGACUCCUACGGGAGGCAGCAGUGGGGAAUAUUGCACAAUGGGCGCAAGCCUGAUGCAGCCAUGCCGCGUGUAUGAAGAAGGCCUUCGGGUUGUAAAGUACUUUCAGCGGGGAGGAAGGGAGUAAAGUUAAUACCUUUGCUCAUUGACGUUACCCGCAGAAGAAGCACCGGCUAACUCCGUGCCAGCAGCCGCGGUAAUACGGAGGGUGCAAGCGUUAAUCGGAAUUACUGGGCGUAAAGCGCACGCAGGCGGUUUGUUAAGUCAGAUGUGAAAUCCCCGGGCUCAACCUGGGAACUGCAUCUGAUACUGGCAAGCUUGAGUCUCGUAGAGGGGGGUAGAAUUCCAGGUGUAGCGGUGAAAUGCGUAGAGAUCUGGAGGAAUAC
rnacentral:rRNA from 1 species